GUGGAAGACUGACUUCCAGGCACCUAGGACUUAAGCUGAGACAGCAACAUUCAAAAUCUCAGCAUAUCUUGCAGAGCUAAGGUGCCAGGCAUGGUGAUACACACCUGUGUCCCACCCUUUGGAACACCUGAAACCUGCUAGCUCAGGGGUGGAGC